AGAGUUUGAUCAGGGCUCAGGAUGAACGCUGGCGGCGUGCUUAACACAUGCAAGUCGAACGAUGAUGGGAGCUUGCUCCUGGAUUAGUGGCGAACGGGUGAGUAACACGUGAGUAACCUGCCCUUGACUCUGGGAUAAGCCUGGGAAACUGGGUCUAAUACCGGAUAUGACCUUCCAUCGCAUGGUGGUUGGUGGAAAGCUUUUGUGGUUUUGGAUGGACUCGCGGCCUAUCAGCUUGUUGGUGGGGUAAUGGCCUACCAAGGCGACGACGGGUAGCCGGCCUGAGAGGGUGACCGGCCACACUGGGACUGAGACACGGCCCAGACUCCUACGGGAGGCAGCAGUGGGGAAUAUUGCACAAUGGGCGCAAGCCUGAUGCAGCGACGCCGCGUGAGGGAUGACGGCCUUCGGGUUGUAAACCUCUUUCAGUAGGGAAGAAGCGUAAGUGACGGUACCUGCAGAAGAAGCGCCGGCUAACUACGUGCCAGCAGCCGCGGUAAUACGUAGGGCGCAAGCGUUAUCCGGAAUUAUUGGGCGUAAAGAGCUCGUAGGCGGUUUGUCGCGUCUGCCGUGAAAGUCCGGGGCUCAUCUCCGGAUCUGCGGUGGGUACGGGCAGACUAGAGUGAUGUAGGGGAGACUGGAAUUCCUGGUGUACCGGUGAAAUGCGCAGAUAUCAAGAGGAACCCCCGAUGGCGAAGGCAGGUCCUCUGUGCCAUUAACUUGACGCUGAGGAGCGAAAGCAUGGGGAGCGAACAGGAUUAGAUACCCUGGUAGUCCAUGCCGUAAACGUUGGGCACUAGGUGUGGGGGACAUUCCACGUUUUCCGCGCCGUAGCUAACGCAUUAAGUGCCCCGCCUGGGGAGUUCUUCCGCAAGGCUAAAACUCAAAGGAAUUGACGG
rnacentral:rRNA from 1 species